CUACGGGGCGCACCAGUGGGGAAUAUUGCACAAUGGAGGAAACUCUGAUGCAGCAACGCCGCGUGGAGGAUGACACAUUUCGGUGCGUAAACUCCUUUUAUAUGAGAAGAUAAUGACGGUAUCAUAUGAAUAAGCACCGGCUAACUCCGUGCCAGCAGCCGCGGUAAUACGGGGGGUGCAAGCGUUACUCGGAAUCACUGGGCGUAAAGAGCAUGUAGGCGGAUAGAAAAGUUGGAAGUGAAAUCCUGUGGCUUAACCAUAGAACUGCUUCCAAAACUCUCUAUCUAGAAUAUGGGAGAGGUAGAUGGAAUUUCUGGUGUAGGGGUAAAAUCCGUAGAGAUCAGAAGGAAUACCGAUUGCGAAGGCGAUCUACUGGAACAUUAUUGACGCUAAGAUGCGAAAGCGUGGGGAGCAAACAGGAUUAGAUACCCGUGUAGUC
rnacentral:rRNA from 1 species